rnacentral:rRNA from 1 species
UAGGGAAUCUUCCGCAAUGGGCGAAAGCCUGACGGAGCAACGCCGCGUGAGUGAUGAAGGUCUUCGGAUCGUAAAACUCCGUUAUUAGGGAAGAACAAAUGUGUAAGUAACUAUGCACGUCUUGACGGUACCUAAUCAGAAAGCCACGGCUAACUACGUGCCAGCAGCCGCGGUAAUACGUAGGUGGCAAGCGUUAUCCGGAAUUAUUGGGCGUAAAGCGCGCGUAGGCGGUUUUUUAAGUCUGAUGUGAAAGCCCACGGCUCAACCGUGGAGGGUCAUUGGAAACUGGAAAACUUGAGUGCAGAAGAGGAAAGUGGAAUUCCAUGUGUAGCGGUGAAAUGCGCGGAGAUAUGGAGGAACACCAGUGGCGAAGGCGACUUUCUGGUCUGUAACUGACGCUGAUGUGCGAAAGCGUGGGGAUCAAACAGG